AAAAUUUCUUCAAGUCAAAAUAGAGAAAACGAAAUAAUCAUUUUUACAUGUACAACCAAUUUAAACUCUGCAAGAUCAAACCUUCAGGUCCAAAUCCCGGAUAAAAUUAAAUAUUACAAAAGCGCAAAUGUCCUAUGUGAAAAGCGAAAAUGUCCUUUUUUUAAAAGCGCAAAGGCCCUAUGAUUUGAAGCGCAAACGUCCCGCGCCGUUCGAAACAUACAUAUAUAAAGUUUGUUCGUUAAACCAGAAAAUGAC
rnacentral:lncRNA from 1 species